rnacentral:piRNA from 1 species
UGAGAUAUCUGGAAUGUCCAAAAUGGUC